rnacentral:lncRNA from 10 species
CAGGCGCUUUCCGAACGAGGGAGGGGAUGGUGGGGAGCGGAGAGAAAGUGGGGCUCGGUAAUUUUGUGCGGUUCUUACGUCCCGAAUUCGAACUAAUAGCGCGUCAAAGCCAGCCAAUGGCUCUGCACCGCCUUGUACAGGUGGGAAAGCUGAGACCAGUAGAUCUUUGGCUCUUGACCAAAGUGCACAAAGAAUAAGGCAGCCAAGGAAUCAAAGUCAGGAGUUCAAGACCAGCCUGGCCAACAUGGUGAAACUCUGUCUCUACCAAACAUAUAAAACAUUAGUCGAGUGUGG